rnacentral:rRNA from 1 species
GACAGAGGGUGCAAACGUUGUUCGGAAUUACUGGGCGUAAAGCGCGUGUAGGCGGCUAUGCAAGUCGGAUGUGAAAGCCCUCGGCUCAACCGGGGAAGUGCACCCGAAACUGCAAAGCUAGAGUCUCGGAGAGGAUCGUGGAAUUCUCGGUGUAGAGGUGAAAUUCGUAGAUAUCGGGAGGAACACCAGUGGCGAAGGCGGUUACCUGGGGCUUUGCUGACGCUGAUGCGCGAAAGCGUGGGGAGCGAUCCGG